rnacentral:rRNA from 1 species
CAGUCGCCGCGGGAAUACCGAGGGUGCAAGCGUUAAUCGGAAUUACUGGGCGUAAAGCGUGCGCAGGCGGUUAUAUAAGACAGAUGUGAAAUCCCCGGGCUCAACCUGGGAACUGCAUUUGUGACUGUAUAGCUAGAGUACGGCAGAGGGGGAUGGAAUUCCGCGUGUAGCAGUGAAAUGCGUAGAUAUGCGGAGGAACACCGAUGGCGAAGGCAAUCCCCUGGGCCUGUACUGACGCUCAUGCACGAAAGCGUGGGGAGCAAACAGGAUUAGAUACCCCCGUAGUCCCUGUCUCUUAUAC